UACGUAGGGACCGAGCGUUGUCCGGAAUCAUUGGGCGUAAAGAGCGUGUAGGCGGCUUGCUAAGUCUUGCGUGAAAUCUCGGGGCUCAACCCCGAGCGGUCGUGGGGAAACUGGCAGGCUAGAGUGCGGGAGAGGGUGGUGGAAUUCCCGGUGUAGCGGUGAAAUGCGUAGAUAUCGGGAGGAACAUCAGUGGCGAAGGCGACCACCUGGCCCAACACUGACGCUGAGGUGCGAAAGCGUGGGUAGCAAACAGG
rnacentral:rRNA from 1 species